GACGAACGCUGGCGGCGUGCUUAACACAUGCAAGUCGAACGGUAAGGCCCUUCGGGGUACACGAGUGGCGAACGGGUGAGUAACACGUGGGUGAUCUGCCCUGCACUUCGGGUUAAGCCUGGGAAACUGGGUCUAAUACCGGAUAGGACCCUGGGAUGCAUGUACUGGGGUGGAAAGCUAUUGCGGUGCGGGAUGGGCCCGCGGCCUAUCAGCUUGUUGGUAGGGUGAUGGCCUACCAAGGCGACGAUGGGUAGCUGGGCUGAGAGGGUGACCGGCCACACUGGGACUGAGAGACGGCCCAGACUCCUACGGGAGGCAGCAGUGGGGAAUAUUGCGCAAUGGGCGCAAGCCUGAUGCAGCGACGCCGCGUGAGGGAUGACGGCCUUCGGGUUGUAAACCUCUUUCAGCACAGACGAAGCGCACGUGACGGUAGGUGCAGAAGAAGGACCGGCCAACUACGUGCCAGCAGCCGCCGUAA
rnacentral:rRNA from 1 species